rnacentral:rRNA from 1 species
CGGACUACCAGGGCUUUGUGAUACGCUCUCGAAGAGUCGAGUUGUUUGGGAAUGCAGCUCUAAAUGGGUGGUAAAUUCCAUCUAAAGCUAAAUAUUGGCGAGAGACCGAUAGCGAACAAGUACCGUGAGGGAAAGAUGAAAAGAACUUUGGAAAGAGAGUUAAACAGUACGUGAAAUUGUUGAAAGGGAAACGCUUGAAGUCAGUCACGUUGGCUAGGAAUCAGCCUUGCUUUUGCUUGGUGUAUUUCCUGGUUUUAACGGGUCAGCAUCAAUUUCGACCGAUGGAAAAAGGUCGGGGGAAUGUGGCAUCUUAGGAUGUGUUAUAGCCCCUGGUCGUAUACAUCGGUUGGGAUUGAGGAACUCAGCACGCCGCAAGGUCGGGUUAUCUAACCACGUUCGUGCUUAGGAUGCUGGCAUAAUGGCUUUAAUCGACCCGUCUUGAAACACGGACCAAGGAGUCUAACAUGCCUGCGAGUGUUUGGGUGGAAAACCCGAGCGCGUAAUGAAAGUGAAAGUUGAGAUCCCUGUCGUGGGGAGCAUCGACGCCCGGACCAGACCUUCUGUGACGGAUCCGCGGUAGAGCAUGUAUGUUGGGACCCGAAAGAUGGUGAACUAUGCCUGAAUAGGGUGAAGCCAGAGGAAACUCUGGUGGAGGCUCGUAGCGAUUCUGACGUGCAAAUCGAUCGUCAAAUUUGGGUAUAGGGGCGAAAGACUAAUCGAACCAUCUAGUAGCUGGUUCCUGCCGAA